rnacentral:lncRNA from 1 species
CCCUGACUCAUUAUGUGACCUUCCCCUUUUGGCCUCUGGAUUCUCAUUUCCACAAUAAGCACAUGUGCCUGGACCACCUCUGAGACUGCUCCCAGCACUAGACUCCAAAGCCUUGUGAGCUCUCUCCAAGGCCUGAUAUCUGGAGCCAUCAUUUCCCAAGUGAGGGUCACCUGGGCUUCCUUUGUCUACACUAAUGUUGGAAAAGGGGAGGUUUUGUUUAAUUUUUUUGAGUUGAUGGUUCAGUAGAUCACAAGUAAUUUUGUUUUAUACUGAUUUGAGAAAUUUAUGGUCUUCCCACUCUGAGCAGGUGUAAGGGACACUGGUUUACCAGGCUCUGCUUCCCCACUGGGGUGGGUCUGGGAAGAAGCAAAUGGGCUGGAAAAGUGGAGUUCUUUUGACUCUUCAUUAACUUAACAAAUAUUCAUGGACCCAAGCAUUGUGUCUAUAUAAUCCUGGGCACCCCAUUGUGCUGGAGGCAUCCAACAGCUAAAGACACAGCCCUGCGCUCAGGUAGCCCAAGUCUGAUAGAGGAGACAGCCCUGGCCCUAAGGGCCCGUAGUCUGAUGGGGGAAGACUGCUAUUACAGGGUUACAGAUCCUGGAAUACAAAUGGAGCCAGGCUAUAGAUCUAGGGACAGAUAGAUAUACUAUAACAGCAACCAAGUGUUCACUACAUGGGUAAAAGUGAAGAGGAUGGAGAACUAGGAAGGCACUGGCUGGUUACUCUGAUUUCUAGGCUCUUACUGAACAUUUUGUUUUUUUUGUUUUUUUUGUUUUUGAGACAAGAUCUCACUCUGUUGUCCAGGCUGGAGUGCAGUGGUGCAGUCAGAGAUCACUGCAGCCUCAAAUCCCCAGGCUCAAGUGGUCCUCCCACCUCAGGCAACCAGGCUUGAAAAAAAAAAAAAUUUAGCCUCCUGAGUAGCUGGGAUUACAGGCACCCACCACCAUGCCUGGCUAAUAUAUAUAUGUAUAUAUAUUGCAUUUUUAAUAGAGACAGAGUUUCACCAUGUUGGCCAAGCUGGUCUCGAACUCCUGACUUCAGGUGAUCCCCCCGUCUUGGCCCCUAACCUUUCUUCAAGCCUGGUUGCCUGCAGCUUUCCAAAUUUCAGCCAAACCCAAGGGAAGUAGUCUGUGUUUUACUUGGGUAUUUUCUCCUAAUGCAAAUGUCUUUCUGGGCUCCUGGGAAAGAGGCCUGUUUGAAGGAAAUACUGUUAAGCUGGCAUGCAGCCGUUGGCACCCACAGGGAAGAGCACCCUCUCUCUGGAAGCCAGGCUCCACCCCAGCAAGAAGUCCCAGCCCCAUCUGACUCCACUGACCUCCCCUAGGGAGGUAUCUCUGACUAAGCAGACUACAGGGCACCUAGAGAUCAGCUCCUCUCCAAAGGCCCCACCUGCUACUCUGGCCUCAUGAAUGACACCCCUCCACCCCAGGCUUAGAGUGGGCAUUCGUUCUCUGUGCUUUGUUUCCAUGUGUGCUGUGAGCUCAAGGGUAGAGUGAGUGUCCUGCUCAUGUCUGGACUGCUCACAGUACCCAGUGCCAAGCUGAGCACACAGUAGUUAUUUGAUUUAUGCUCAUUAAAAUGAACUGUGGCAGGGUGUGGUGGCUCACGCCUGAGUUCCCAACACUUUGGGAGGCCAAGGUGGAAGGACUGCUUGAGUUCAGGAGUUUGAGACCAGCUUGGGCAACACAGUAAAACCUUAUCUCUAAAAAAAAAAAAAAAAAAAAAAAAAAAAGUCAGAAAAUUAGCCAGGCAUGGCGUCAUGCGCCUGUGGUCCCAGCUACUUGGGAGGCUGAGAUGGGAGGUUCCCUUGAGCCCAGGAGGUCAAGGCUGCAGUGAGCCAUGAUCACACCACUGCACUCAGCCUGGGUGACAGAGUGAGAUCCUGUCUCAAAAAAAUAAAUAAAAAUAAAAUAAAAUGAGCUGAGUUGGUUACACUGACUAACUCAAACAAAAGUAGGCUUUGGGCAAGACCUAAAUUACCAGGAUAACGGAGGCCCAAAUUAUCCAGACAAUAUGUAGAUUACGGACAAAUACAAAUAAUGAAGAUCGAAGACAUGUUUGAGUUAUGUACAGGCUGAAGGAAAACUGAUUCUCGGGGAAGGGAAGCAGGCAGGUGAGGCCCAGGGUUUCUGGGAAACCCCUGUGUAAACAGUGGCAGGGGGUUAGCAACCCCCACUGCUG